rnacentral:rRNA from 1 species
GAUCCUGGCUCAGGAUGAACGCUGGCGGCGUGCCUAACACAUGCAAGUCGAGCGAACUUCUUCGGAAGUGAGCGGCGGACGGGUGAGUAACGCGUGGGUAACCUGCCCUAUACACACGGAUAACGUACCGAAAGGUACGCUAAUACGAGAUAACAUAUUUUUAUCGCAUGGUAAGAAUAUCAAAGCUCCGGCGGUAUAGGAUGGACCCGCGUCUGAUUAGCUAGUUGGUAAGGUAACGGCUUACCAAGGCGACGA